GCUUGUCUCAAAGAUUAAGCCAUGCACGUCUAAGUAUAAGCAUUAUACAGCGAAACAGCGAAUGGCUCAUUACAUUAGUUUUAACAUACACGAUGAUCGAUUCUACUUGGAUAACCGUAGUAAUUCUAGAGCUAAUACAUGCGUAAAGGGUGCUGAAAGGCAUCUGUGUUUAUUAGAUACAACCAACCCCUCGCGGGUUUAGGUGAUUCAUAAUAACCGAACGAACCGCGUUCAGCGGUGAUUCUUUCUACAUUAUUCCCUAUCAGCUUUCGUUUUUUGUGUAGUGGACAAAAAAGGCUUUGACGGGUAACGGAGAAUUAGGGUUCGAUUCCGGAGAGGGAGCCUGAGAGAUGGCUACCACAUCCAAGGAAGGCAGCAGG
rnacentral:rRNA from 1 species